CAUAUAUAUGAAUACUAGUUAUUUAACUGCAUUGCUUAUGCUUUACAUAUGAUGCUAUCUUUUUUUGUUUUUGUUGGUGCUGUAAAUCUACGAUAUGUACAUUUGAAACUACAAAGUGCUUGUUAAAUGGAUAAGGCUAAUCAUGAAGAAAGUUUUUUGGUCCCCAAUAUGAAAGACAUCUUUAAUUGUGAUUUUCCACUAAACCUUUUCUUUAAGUUUGGGGUCGAUAAUCAGGAAAAUAUGUUAACCUUGAAAACCAAGAACAUAUAUUAACAGUUUCGAGGGAGGAUUGGAAAAGACGACAGAAAUUAUGCACAAUAACACUGAUAUGUUACAUCGUGCACAUGUUAUAUUUAUUGAGAUUUAUGUCUACGCGGGUUGACAAAUCCAUCUCCCAUAAAUUGGUUAGGCGAGAACAAAUUCGAACUACUUUAAUGCAACAGUUAAGAGAAACUCAUAGGUGUCGUGACAUAACUACACAUGAGUCCUGAUGCAUUUCUUCAAUUGUGUGAGAAAUUAAGAGCAACACGUCAAGUGAGGGAUACAAAACAUGUUACAGUAGAGGAGCAAGUUGCUAGGUUCUUGUAUAUAAUAGCUCAUAAUGUGAAAACUAGAACCGUUUCUUUUUUCUACCACCGGUCUGGAGAAACUGUUAGCUGCCACUUCCAUGCUGUGUUACAGACAAUUAUUUUAUUAGAAGAUGAAUUUCUUCGACAACCAUCUACAUCUAUUAUUUCUCCGGCGAUCCUUCACGAUCAUAGAUUUUAUCCUUAUUUUAAGGACUGUAUUGGAGCUAUAGAUGGAACACAUUUUCGUGUCAAAGUACCCAUAGCAGAUCAACCUAAAUUUUGAGGGAGAAAAGACUGGCCAACACAAAAUGUAUUAGCUGCAUGUGAUUUUGAUAUGAAGUUCACUUAUGUAUUAACGGGUUGGGAAGGAACAGCAUCUGACUCAAAAGUUCUUAAGAAUGUAUUAUCGAGGGAUGAUAAUCUUAAACUUCCACGAGAAAAAUUUUACUUUGGGGAUGCUGGAUUUAUGGUGAAGCAUGGAUUAAUUACCCCAUAUCAAAGUGUAAGGUAUCACUUAAAAGAGUAUGUAAGACGUGGCCAAAAAAAAUGAAAAGAAUUAUUUAAUCUUCGUCAUGCUUCAUUGAGAAAUGUUAUCGAAAGGUCAUUUAGACUUUUAAAGAAAAGAUUUGCAAUAAUCACAAGUGGCACUGAACCACAUUAUGACUUUGAGACUAUGACUGAAAUUGUGCUAGCUUGUUGCAUAUUACAUAACUUUUUAAUGGGUGUAGAUCCUGAUCCACAUCUCAUAGUUCAAGUUGACCGAGAACUACAAGAAAAUAAUCCAGAAGAGGAUGAAGUAGUUCGACAUGAACAAGAUGAAGACUAUAGGCGGGGGGCCAUAUUAAGGGAUGAAAUAGCUGCUCAAAUGUGGGCUGACUAUCAACUAGGGCUCUGAUCACUCAUUUCCAAAAUUUUGCAAAUAAAGUUAUUAGUUAUAUUAUCUGUGCGCUAAGUUGAUUUUAUAACUAUGAUUUGUUAUUAUUGAAUUCAUGUUACCUCUUGAAGUGU